UGGGAGCUGGGCUUUCGUCCCCGGGCGCUGUCCCUGGGCUGUGCGUGGGGGGGGGCACCCCGCUUACUCUCCGGCCUCACCCGGCCGCCGACCUUCUGCAGCGGGCCUGACGCAGCAUGCUCAGGAGCCCUGGGUGGACGUUGCUGCCAUGACCUCCUGCCCAGUGUCACGGCUGGUUGGAUGCCUUCCUAUAAGUAGGACCGCGUUCGUGAUUCUGAGAGAUUUUGCCAAAUUGCCCUCCACAGAGGUUGUGAAUCCCCGGCUCCACACAGUCCUGCCAACAAUGUGAAUCAAACACAGUACCCAUCUGAUAGGUAAAAAUGUCAUCCGCGCAGGUUUUUCUCUUCCAAAUUUUAUUCGUUUUGUUGUUGUUGCUGAGAAUAUACACAGCAAAAUAUACAUCAAUUCAACAGUUCUUCUACAUGACAAUUUAGUGACAUUGAUGACAUUCUUCAAGUUGUGCAAACAUUCUCACCCUCCUUUUCUGAGUUGUUCCUCCCUCAUUGACAUAAACUUACUUCCUCUAAGGUUCCAAUUUGAUCCCACAGAGAUAGUUCUUAAUUAUCAGUGCAGUUUUAAUUUACAUUCUUCUCCCGUGAGUAGAGGAAUCUCUUGAUAUGUGUAUGAGCCAUUUGUUUAUACUUUCAUGUGAACUCUGUACAUAUCUCUGCUUUUUCACUUUUCCCCUGCUGGAUUGUUCAUCUUUUCAUUGAUUCAUAGGAGCUCUUUAUAUAUGAGCGAAAUUAGUCUGUGUGACACAAUUUGCAAAUGUUUUCCCCAGUUUGCUGUUUGUCUUUUGACUUUUCUUAAGGUGGUUUUUGCUAUGUAGAACUUUUAUUUUAUGUAGCUGAAUUUAUAAAAACAGGGGUUUUUUGUAUUUAGUUUUUGCAUUUUGUGACACUCUUAGAAAGGUCUUCCUCACCUCAAGUUUAAAAAAAAAUCUUUCAUCUAUGGUCUUUUUCUAUUCUUUAUGGUUUUGUUUUUUACACUGAAAUCUUUGAUCCUUCCGGAAUUUAUUUUAGGAGAUAUAGAUUCGACUUUAUUUUUUCCAGAUGGCUACCUAGUUUCCCAGCACCAUUUUUUGAAUAAUCCAUCUUCUCCCCAUUGAUUCCCUUUUUGUCACAUGCUAAAUUCCCUUAUGAAUUUGUGUCUGUUUCUGGGCUCUAUUCUAUCUAUUCUUGUACCAGUGUCAUUUUGUUUUAAUUAUCAUUCUUUUCUAACAUGUUUUAAUAUCAGGUGGGACCAGUCCCCCCUCCUCACUUGGGCAGAGACUGUGGGAGCCCACCCCAACAUCCACGACCUCCUUCCUUCCUCUUUUGCAACCUGAUUUUAUUUGUGGCAGCAAAACACCCAGCUUCGCGUUUCCCAGACUCCAGUGUGGAAAGGUGUGGCCAUGGGACUAGGUUCUGGCCAGUGACAGCUGCCUGGAAUGUGGAGGUGAUGACUGGAACUCCAGCAGCCAUCUCGAGCUACUGGGAAAAUUUGGAAUGGAAGCCACACACAAGUAGGGAAGGACAGAGACAUCAGGGAGCUGCCACAUCACCCCAGGGCUGCCUGCCUCACUUGGAGCUUCUUUUACAGGAAAAAGAAAUAAACACUCAUCUUGCCUAAGCUUCUGCAGUUGGGUCUCUGUUAUAUGCAACCCAACCUAAUCCUUGUUGAAACAUAGCUGUUCUUUUCAGAACAUUCUUGGUUGUUCUUGAUUGUUUAGUUUCCUACAUAAACCUUAGAAUUAGGUUUGUUAAUUAAAAUAAUGUCCCAUUAAUUUUUAAGGUGGAAUUUCAUUAUAUUUAUAGAUAUAUUAAAGAUACCGGAUAUCGUUAUGAUACUGAGUCUUUAUAUAAAAAAUAUUAGGCCUUUCCAUUUGUUCAAAUCUUUUCCGGCCCUCAGUAGCAUUUGAAAGCUUUCUUAAUAUCUGGCAUACUUUUUGUAGAGUUACUGUAUUUUUAUGCAAAUACCACGCACCUUCUGCAUUUGUUUGCUGGCCACGUUGUACCUCAUGUGGGUAUUUUCGUAAGCACGCUAUGCUAAUUCUUUUUACAGAAACCUGUGGAAGAACAUCGGCAUGGUGGCACCUGUGAGGGUGUCUCAUGGGGGUAGGGCAUGGCCAGCAAACAAACACAGACGGUGAGCAUUAUUUGCAUAAAUAUACAGUAAUUUCUAAAUAUUUUAUAUUUUUGGUUGCAAUCAUACAUAGGGUCUUCCAUAUAUCACCUAACUGGUUGAUGUUUUUAUAUAUAAAGGGUAUUGAACUUCCUGUAUACCUACUCCUCACUUGCUAUCUCAUUAUCUGACAUUUCACAUUUAUGACAAUAGUAAAAAAUCUACUAUUCAACUAUUUUGUGCAUUAACAAUGUACAUCUGGCAAUAACAAACGCUGAGGUGCCAGGCAAGAGUAGCACUGGCUGUGAUGGUUAAGGUUA